rnacentral:lncRNA from 1 species
AACUGACGACUGGGCAUUUGAAAACCCGAAGGAGUGAGGGGGCAAGCCCCAAAGAGGUCUUGAGAAAAAGGGCUUCAGGCAAUUAUGCUGCCAGAGCAAGCCAGGCGGGGAGCUUGGAAAGCUCCAGAAGCAGCAAGGAAGCCAGGUAGCGACAGCGGAGUAGGGGAGGGGGAGGAGAUGAGGUCAGGGAACCCAGGCAGGUGCAGGAAGGGGUUUGCGGGUGGAGCUUGCGUGCUUGGAAAGCUCCAGAAGCAGCAAGGAAGCCAGGUAGCCGCAGCGGAGUAGGGGAUGGGGAGGAGAUGAGGUCAGGGAACCCAGGCAGGUGCAGGAGGGGGUUUGCGGGUGGAGCUUGCGUGCUUGGAAAGUUCCAGAAGCAGCAAGGAAGCCAGGUAGCCGCAGCGGAGUAGGGGAGGGGGAGGAGAUGAGGUCAGGGAACCCAGGAAGGUGCAGGAGGGGGUUUGCGGGUGGAGCUUGCGUGCUUGGAAAGUUCCAGAAGCAGCAAGGAAGCCAGGUAGCCGCAGCGGAGUAGGGGACGGGGAGGAGAUGAGGCGUAAGUUGGGAGCGACUGAGCCACUCCAGGAGGAGGUGUGGGCCCACGGCGUGUUGGAGGUGGAGCCACAGGACCUGUCCAUAGGUUGGAUGCUGUGUGGGUGACAGAGAGAAACCGGGGCUCACGGCCUGGGCAGCGGGACGGGCGGAGUCGUCCUCACCUGUGCUGGGGACCCUGUGGGAGCAGCAGGCUUCCGAGCACGUGCUGGACCCCGGCGUCUCCGGCUGCACCGAGUGGUCAGGACAUUGAGGCCGGGUCAGGGAGCGUGAGAUACCGGGACGAGCGGGCCCAGGGCUGAGCCCAGCGGCGUCCGGGUGGGCGGUGGCGUUGAGAUGGGAAUUGGGAAUUGCACCGGUGGUCUCAGGAGGAUGGAAAACCCAAGCAGCAGCUGCACCAGGACCGAGGCAAAGGGACCGCAGUUUAACAGAAAACCCAAAACGAGAGCGAGAAAACGGCCAAACACCCGUGCGAGGAGGAAACCCAAGCUCCGCCGAGCGCGGCGGGUCUGUGCCUUCGCUUCGCUUCCAGCCUCUCGCUUCCUUCUGACCCGACCCCGAGUUCUUUCUCCGGACGGUGUCGAGAACCCGGGCGCCGGCUGGGGCUGGAGUCUCGCUGGCCUCGGAGCGCCCCCGAGCCCUCGGGCGACAGCGAGGGAACGCCAGGCCCCCGGACGCGAC